rnacentral:lncRNA from 12 species
AUGGGAUGGAAGAAGAAUGUCACGUGGACUGGUGGUCGUGAACCUUCCUUGAAAACUUGGAAGAGGCCUUCUUUAACUCCACGAAGACAAAUGGAUAAAUCAGUUCACAGAUUAUUGUUAUAUUUGGUAGAGAGAGGAAGGCGGGUGAUAAAAUUGGGGGACCAGCAGACCAGAGCAUGGAGAAGUGAUGCGGGGAACGCAGAGCCUUGCACCUCAAGGUAUGGCAUCAAAUGUCUGCUAAGAGAAGCCUCAGGAUUUAAUGCAAUGAAGAAGAAUGAUGUGCAAGUAGUAUACACUGCAUUCCUUCUCACUUUGAAGAAAUCCACAGAAGAAAGAGCAAAAUGCUGA